UUUGCUUCAGACACUUCACGACACGGGUGCAAAACGCGCCCUCAGCUUCCUCAGCCAGUGGCUUUCGUGCGUGUGUGCGGGUGGCCUGUCUGUUGUGGUGGGGUCUGGGGGAUUUUGUGGGGUUUUUUGUUUUGUUUUGUUUUGUUUUUGGUGUUUUGGGGUUGGAGGUGCGGGGGUGGGGCAGGCCCGGCAACGACGACCCUUGGUGACGAUGACGAUCGCGGUGGUUGGAAAUGAAGACGAGGAGAAGCAGGGGAGGGCGGGCGUCCUUCACCACCGCAGCCCAGGAAGCCGCAAAGUCGCGUUCCCGUCGGCGAGAUGACUUCUUCGUUGGGUUUCAUUUAAGGAACGUCGGUGCUGUGGGGCCCGAGAUUGAUGUUUUUCUGCCAGUCCACAGUCUGUAGGCCGCGGCUAACACCCGAGGAAACCCUUGAAUGAAGGAUGGAUUAAAGAGGCUCUUUCGCUACUGAUA